rnacentral:rRNA from 1 species
GUUAUAGGGUCAAGCGAACAAGUGCAUGUGGUGGAUGCCUUGGCGAUCACAGGCGAUGAAGGACGCGGUAGCCUGCGAAAAGCUACGGGGAGCUGGCAAACAAGCUUUGAUCCGUAGAUGUCCGAAUGGGGAAACCCACUCCUUAUGGAGUAUCCAUGGCUGAAUACAUAGGCCAUGCGAAGCGAACGCGGUGAACUGAAACAUCUAAGUAACCGCAGGAAAAGAAAUCAACCGAGAUUCCCAAAGUAGUGGCGAGCGAAAUGGGAUGAGCCUUGCACUCUUUAUUUGUAUUGUUAGCCGAACGCUCUGGAAAGUGCGGCCAUAGCAGGUGAUAGCCCUGUAGGCGAAAACAGUAUGAAAGAACUAGGUGUGCGACAAGUAGGGCGGGACACGUGAAAUCCUGUCUGAAGAUGGGGGGACCAUCCUCCAAGGCUAAAUACUCGUGAUCGACCGAUAGUGAACCAGUACCGUGAGGGAAAGGCGAAAAGAACCCCGGGAGGGGAGUGAAAUAGAUCCUGAAACCGCAUGCAUACAAACAGUCGGAGCCUCGUAAGGGGUGACGGCGUACCUUUUGUAUAAUGGGUCAGCGACUUACGUUCAGUAGCAAGCUUAACCGUAUAGGGCAGGCGUAGCGAAAGCGAGUCCGAAUAGGGCGUUCAGUUGCUGGGCGUAGACCCGAAACCAGGUGAUCUAUCCAUGGCCAGGAUGAAGGUGCGGUAACACGUACUGGAGGUCCGAACCCACUAACGUUGAAAAGUUAGGGGAUGAGCUGUGGAUAGGGGUGAAAGGCUAAACAAACCUGGAAAUAGCUGGUUCUCUCCGAAAACUAUUUAGGUAGUGCCUCGUGUCUCACCUUCGGGGGUAGAGCACUGUCAUGGUUGGGGGGUCUAUUGCAGAUUACCCCGCCAUAGCAAACUCCGAAUACCGAAGAGUGCAAUCACGGGAGACAGACAUCGGGUGCUAACGUCCGGUGUCAAGAGGGAAACAACCCAGACCGCCAGCUAAGGUCCCCAAAUAUGGCUAAGUGGGAAACGAAGUGGGAAGGCUAAAACAGUCAGGAGGUUGGCUUAGAAGCAGCCACCCUUUAAAGAAAGCGUAAUAGCUCACUGAUCGAGUCGUCCUGCGCGGAAGAUGUAACGGGGCUAAGCCAUAUACCGAAGCUGCGGAUGCG